AUGGAACAAUGUAGGCAAGGGAAGUCGGCAAAACGGAUCCGUAACUUCGGGAAAAGGAUUGGCUCUGAGGACUGGGCUCGGGGGUCCCGGCCCCGAACCCGCCGGCUGUCGGCGGAUUGCUCGAGCUGCUCACGCGGCGAGAGCGGGUCGCCGCGUGCCGGCCGGGGGACGGACCGGGAAUCGCCCCUUCGGGGGCUUUCCCCGAGCAUGAAACAGUCGACUCAGAACUGGUACGGACAAGGGGAAUCCGACUGUUUAAUUAAAACAAAGCAUUGCGAUGGUCCUCGCGGAUGCUGA
rnacentral:rRNA from 1 species